rnacentral:rRNA from 1 species
UACGAAGGGUGCAAGCGUUACUCGGAAUUACUGGGCGUAAAGCGCGCGUAGGCGGUUUGUUAAGUCUGAUGUGAAAGCCCUGGGCUCAACCUGGGAAUUGCAUUGGAUACUGGCAGGCUAGAGUGCGGUAGAGGAUGGCGGAAUUCCCGGUGUAGCAGUGAAAUGCGUAGAGAUCGGGAGGAACAUCUGUGGCGAAGGCGGCCAUCUGGGCCAGCACUGACACUGAGGCACGAAAGCGUGGGGAGCAAACAGG